AAUACAUGCAAGUAGAACGCUGAAGCUUGGUGCUUGCACCGAGCGGAUGAGUUGCGAACGGGUGAGUAACGCGUAGGUAACCUGCCUGGUAGCGGGGGAUAACUAUUGGAAACGAUAGCUAAUACCGCAUAACAGUAGAUAUUGCAUGAUAUCUGCUUGAAAGGUGCAAUUGCAUCACUACCAGAUGGACCUGCGUUGUAUUAGCUAGUUGGUGAGGUAACGGCUCACCAAGGCGACGAUACAUAGCCGACCUGAGAGGGUGAUCGGCCACACUGGGACUGAGACACGGCCCAGACUCCUACGGGAGGCAGCAGUAGGGAAUCUUCGGCAAUGGGGGGAACCCUGACCGAGCAACGCCGCGUGAGUGAAGAAGGUUUUCGGAUCGUAAAGCUCUGUUGUAAGAGAAGAACGAGUGUGAGAGUGGAAAGUUCACACUGUGACGGUAUCUUACCAGAAAGGGACGGCUAACUACGUGCCAGCAGCCGCGGU
rnacentral:rRNA from 1 species